GUUCAAGCUUGAGUAGUAAAUCUAUGUGGAUAGAAAUCUAACAGAUGGUGUAUGUCUAUACUAUCUAGUAACUUAGAUCCCAAGCUAUUUGCCAUGCACACACAAGGUAAGUCCCAUUGAAUUUGCUCCCAGGUAGAGAGGAUUGUCGGCUUAAUUAUUUUCCCUCACUGGCUUGAUUCAGGCAUCUUAGGAUACUUCGGUGGAAGAACAAAACAAAGCUAACAAAUGACUAGUAAGUAAAUACAUAAAUAAGGUAAUAAAGUAAAUAGAGCAAAUUAACAUUGUUUUAAUAUAGAACCUCAAUACCAUUCUACACCUGACCCAGGUAAGAUGUUCCUGGUGUGCUCACACAGGGUGGCCAACUUUUGAUAUCAUGGCUUUACUAAUUAGGCCAGGAAAAUACUGGCCAACUGGUACCAAUAACUACAUGGUGAACAGCAUGAAUAUUUGAAGGGGAGAUGCACAUUUGCAAAUAAAUAUGUAGAGACAUAUGGCCAAGCACAGCCCCCUGGUAUAUGGAUUUAUUUUUCAUCCUCCAGUGACCUGGCUGUGCCAGCGUUUGCAGGGUUGUUCACCUCUUGCACUGAAUGUGCUUACAUGUUGUCUAUAAAGGUAAAGGUAAAGGGACCCCUGCCCGAACGGGCCAGUCGUGUCCGACUCUGGGGUUGCGCGCCCAUCUCGCUUAAGAGGCCGGGGGCCAGCGGUGUCCAAAGACACUUCCGGGUCACGUGGCCAGUGUGACAACCUGCAUCUGGCGAGCCAGCACAGCACACGGAAACACUGUUUACCUUCCCGCUAAUAAGCGGUCCCUAUUUAUCUACUUGCACCCGGGGGUGCUUUCGAACUGCUAGGUUGGCAGGCGCUGGGACUGAGCAACGGGAGCGCACCCCGCCGCGGGGAUUCGAACCGCCAACCUGAGGUUUUACCCACAGCGACUGUACUCAUGUUGGUUUUUAAAAUACAUUGCUAUUUUGCAGAUACACCAAAACAUACCCAUGAGCGAGGGUGCAGGAGCCUUCUGUAUUUUACAUCAGGAUGCUUCAAAAUUCAAAAUCUAGAACAUUGUGGACAUUUAAGUGUGAAUCUUAUGAUCUGAUCUUUCCUUAAAAACUUCCUCAGAGAACACUCAACUUCUUCCAGACCAAGCACACAGAUUAAGAGG